UGGAACUUUUACAGCAGGGUCAGAAAGUUACAUAUUAUCUCAAGUUAAAUUUUUAAAUUAAAAAAUAUGAAAAAGGUCCCAAUAUACAUAAUACCUUAAUCAUGUGUGUGUGUGUGUGUGUGUGUGUGUGUGUGUGUGUUGGUGUGAAUGGAACCCAAGGCUUUGCACAUUCCAG
rnacentral:sRNA from 1 species